ACGUCCUCGGGCCGUGGGCGCGCCCUGCCCGGCUGCCUGCGCUCUCCGUCCGCAGGGCUGUGGGCGCAGCUGAGGCUGGUGGAGGACGGCGGAGGGCUGCGAGCGCCCGGGGAGACCGUGCGCCUCUCCUGCCGGGGAUCCGGCUUCAGCUUCGGGCUUUACGCAGUUUGGUGGUACCGUCAGGCGGCCGGCGGCAGUCUCGAGUGGGUGUCCUACAUCGAAUGGGGUUCGGAUUUUGUGAAGCAGUACGGGGCAGGAGUGCAGGGUCGAGCCGCAGUGUCCCGGGACAAUUCCCGGUCCGAGUCGAUUCUGUCCCUGCGAGACCUGCAGCCCCGGGACUCUGCCCGCUACUUCUGCGCUGUUGCACGGAGACAGGAAAACCAGCUGAGCUUUAACACAAACCUGCUGGAGCCCGGCCCACAAUGUCAGAGCUGUGGGGCAACCGGCUGCUUUGGGUGGGGGCCUCAGGGGGGUUCCCAGGCAGUGAGGUUCCAUCACUCUGCACUGCAGGAGUUCCUGGCCUUUCCUGCACGCUGCGGGAAUUUUUACCUUAUGGGAAAUUAAAACAGAGCAGGAUUGUGAGCAACAAAAUCCUGGAAACACCUUCCUCUACACCUCGCACUUUCCUCCCUUGCUCAGCUUCAUACCUUCAUUCCCAAGUCCUCUACCUCCUCUGCCCAAGUGGCCCAGGGGUGAUGGGGUUUGAGGUGAAAUCAUAACACUUCACCUCUACUGCUCCUUCCUCUCUCCCAUGGUCUGCAGUCCUUCACAAAUGGCUCCAGGAUGGGUCCUUUUGGAGGGCUGCAGUCCUUCAGGAUAAACAUGGUCCAGCAUCAGCUGUCCACAGGUCCCAGUUCCUGUCAGGGCACACUCAUGUACUUUGCCAUGUGAUCCUACACAGGCUGCAGGGAAACAACUGUCCCACUGUGGCGUCUUCCAUGGGCUGCAG